CACUGGCAACCAUGGCUACAAGGAGGGUAUACCAUAAUAUAAUAUUGUUGGGUCUGUUACUUUACCACCCUCCUCACGGAGAAAAUCACCAGAGAUAAUUACAACACAGAAAGUGUGAGAAAAACAAUUAAAUGCAUCAUUCUAACAUUGCCUAAAAUGAUGAAUAAGACACUAAUGAGAUAGACCUGCACAAUGCAGUUGUACAAUUUAUGGCAUAUAUGACGAUAAACGGUUGAGGAAAACACUCAUCUACUUUUCCCAACUUUAAGCAAAUCACCAGCGGCAACAGCUGGGCGAUGACCAAUCAUAUCGAGUGGUUUCCGUGACGAUGACCAAUCAUAUCGAGUGGUUCCCGUGACGUUGACCAAUCAUAUCGAGUGGUUCACGUGACGAUGAACGUUCAUAUCGAGUGGUUACCGUGACGAUGACCAAUCAUAUCGAGUGGUUCCCGUGACGUUGACCAAUCAUAUCGAGUGGUUCCCGUGACGAUGAACGUUCAUAUCGAGUGGUUACCGUGACGUUGACCAAUCAUAUCGAGUGGUUCCCGUGACGAUGACCAAUCAUAUCGAGUCGCUCCCGUGACGAAUCUGACGCGAUGAAACCCAGGACAGGAGACUUUCUCCAGCCAAGAUGGCUGACCAGAAAUACCAAUACGGAAGCAAAUGGACUCCUGAAACAACCAGCAAAACUGUGAAACAGUAGAUGUAAAUAAUCUAGCUAGCUAAAGCAUUUACUGCAAAUUGAAUGUACCGUUUUGUAAGCUUGCCUUGCUGAUAUUUGCAAUGCAGAUGAAGUAUCGUAGCUAGCUAUUUCCUUGCUUCUUGUGCAGUGCAGAAUAAAAAAUAUCCGUAUGCCUAUAGAUGUGUAGCCGAUCUGUGUAUGAACCCUAAAACGUUUGGUAUACAAAUUAGUUCAGAACCUAGCUAUGAACCUCAGAUUUCAUAGCCUGUUGUAUCUUCAAAACAGUCUGAAUGACAUUAAUGAAGCCUUUGGAUUGAGGAGAAUAUAAUAACUUUGUGCCAAGGUUGCAAGUCGUAUAUACAUGUAGUUAUUGAGAUCCCACAUUGUAGCCUGUACAUUUAAUAUAUUCACUGAUCAUGUACUCUAC
ensembl:lncRNA